rnacentral:rRNA from 1 species
AAAAUUUAAAAUUAAAAUACUAAAAUAGUAAAUAAAUAUUUAUUAAAACUUAAAUAAUUUGGCGGUAUUUUAGUUCAUUUAGAGGAAUCUGUUUAAUAAUUGAUAUUCCACGAAUAAAUUUACUUAAUUUAUUAUUUUGUAUAUCGUUGUUAAAAAAAUAUUUUUUAAUAAUAAUUAAUAUUUAAAAAUUAAAAUAUAAAUUUAAAUCAGAUCAAGAUGCAGAUUAUAAUUAAGAAUAUAAUGGAUUACAAUAAAUUUAUUUAAAUGAAUAUUAAUUUGUAAAAAUUAAUUGAAAGUGGAUUUAAAUGUAAUUUUAUUUAAUUUAAUAAAAUGAUUAAAAAUUAAAAUAUGU